GAUGAACGCUGGCGGCGUGCCUAAUACAUGCAAGUCGAGCGAACAGACGAGGAGCUUGCUCCUCUGACGUUAGCGGCGGACGGGUGAGUAACACGUGGAUAACCUACCUAUAAGACUGGGAUAACUUCGGGAAACCGGAGCUAAUACCGGAUAAUAUAUUGAACCGCAUGGUUCAAUAGUGAAAGACGGUUUUGCUGUCACUUAUAGAUGGAUCCGCGCCGCAUUAGCUAGUUGGUAAGGUAACGGCUUACCAAGGCGACGAUGCGUAGCCGACCUGAGAGGGUGAUCGGCCACACUGGAACUGAGACACGGUCCAGACUCCUACGGGAGGCAGCAGUAGGGAAUCUUCCGCAAUGGGCGAAAGCCUGACGGAGCAACGCCGCGUGAGUGAUGAAGGUCUUCGGAUCGUAAAACUCUGUUAUUAGGGAAGAACAAAUGUGUAAGUAACUAUGCACGUCUUGACGGUUCCUAAUCAGAAAGCCACGGCUAACUACGUG
rnacentral:rRNA from 1 species